CACAGCCAGCUAGCUACUGCACUUCACUACCUACUGAGAAUUAUCAGUUAGCACAGAAGCGCGGAAUAGCACAUUGCAUACAAUACAGGGGCAGUGUGGCCUUGUCAUAACUGUCAUCAUAUGGCUUAGGCUCUAUGCAGUCAUCUGGAUCCCUCACACCAUCAAAGUAACAGUGGGCUAGUGCUCCAUCAGCUGUAAGGCGGACAUCAGCAUCCAAAACCAGCAUCUUCUUCAACAGGUCCACCGCUGUGCAUCCAGUUCAGAAUGACCUCAGGUGCUCUGUACCACCUCGUCACAACAUAACCUGUCAUCUCUGGAUCUGCAUGCCGUGCCAGGCCAAAAUCCAAGAUCUGCAGCCAUGGAUAAAUAACACAGUUAAUACCUCACAAAUCCCUUCAACCACGUCUUCAAGAAAAUUCAAGAGCAUUUACCAACAUAGACUUUGACAAGCUACCGUGUUACCAUGAAAUCAAAAGCGAUAUUAACCAACCUUUAGCUCGCAGUCUUGAUUUACAGCCAGGUUGCCUGGUUUAAGAUCC